rnacentral:rRNA from 1 species
UCAGUAACACGUAGUCAACAUGCCCAGUGUGACGUGGAUAACCUCGGGAAACUGAGGAUAAACCGCGAUAAGUCACUACUUCUGGAAUGGGUAAUGACUUAAAUCUAUAUGGCCCCUGGAUUGGACUGCGGCCGAUCAGGCUGUUGGUGAGUGUAAUGGCCCACCAAACCUGUAACCGGUACGGGCUCUGAGAGGAGGAGCCCGGAGAUGGGCACUGAGACAAGGGCCCAGGCCCUAUGGGGCGCAGCAGGCGCGAAACCUCUGCAAUAGGCGAAGGCCUGACAGGGUUACUCUGAGUGAUUUCCGUUAAGGAGAUCUUUUGGCACCUCUAAAAAUGGUGCAGAAUAAGGGGUGGGCAAGUCUGGUGCCAGCC